AAACUCUUUUCUAUCUCCAUGACCGAUACUUGCUCGCGGGCGAUCCAAUUCCAGCGACAUCAAUCUCGGUUGUUGGUACCCAACAGCAAUCAAAUCCUGAAGCCAAGCAGCUGUGAAUUUCAAAUCCUGUUCUGUCCAAAACCCUUCUUCAGCCAUAGCAAAGCUCAAAUCAAGGACCGUCUCAAAGAAACUAUGCUUCUCUGAUCUCCAAGCAAGUAAGAACUUGAUCAAACGACCAACAUUAACAUGAAGAUCCUUCUCCUCUACAAAAGGGUAAGCCUCGAUUCUAUCAAACCGGUGAGCUGUAGGUGGAUAAACAGCAACAUAACCA